UCCUUCCUGCCUUCCUGCCUGCCUGCCUUCCUGCCUGCCUGCCUUCUUUCCUUCCUUCCUUUCUUACUUUGUUUCUUCCUUUGUCUAUUCCUUUCCCCUUUUUGGAGUUGUUUUCUUGCUGAGUAUGGGUGGAUGGGGUCCCCAGUGGGCAUUGUUGACCACUGACAGGGCCAUGGAAGCCCAGAGAAUGAGAGGCCAUUUUAAGAGUGGAGGGUGGGACAGGUUCUAAGGGAGGAAUCUUUGUUGGGUCUUCAUCUAGACAUAAAACAGAUCAUUUUCUUUUGCUUUUGCUUUUGCUUUUGUUUUUUAAACAGGUUCUAUGAAGUUCAGGCUGCACUUGAUCUCACUGUGUAUCCCAGGCCAGCCUCCAACUCAUGGUGAUUCUCCUGCCUCAGACUUCUUCUGCGUGCUGGGAUUACAGGCAUGCACCACCACACCCAGCCCUGGAGGUGAACUUUUUGAAGAAGCCCACUACAUGAUUCAGGAUGACCUUGAUCUCACUAUGGACCCCAAGUUGCUUUCAAAUUUGCAGUGAUCCUCCUCCCUCAGCCUCCCCAGCACUGGGAUUACUGGCCUGCACUGUGAUAGCCAACCCGACUUCAUCUUGUGCCUCAAUGCCACUUUGUACCUGUGCUUGAACAAAGUACUUGGACAUGAACAAAGGACCCAAAACCGCCACAUCCUGCUUGGCAGUAAACUUGAUACAGUUUCAGGAUGUUUUGUAGCUCACCUAGUGUGUGUGAAACUUCCUUGUAUCCCCCACUAACGUGGCAUGAUUCUGCUUCUGUAAGAUUCCGCUUGCUCUCCCCUGAGCCCUCCCCAACUGAAAGCAUGAUUUAAAAGGAGAAAUCAAACUGCUUCCCAUUGCUGAGGAAUCCUUUCUGGGUGCUAGCACCCCUCAGCUGCCGGCUAUAAUAAAUGGUCUUGAAUCUGGCACAGAGUAUGCCGCAUCUCUAUUGUCCGAACUCACUCGUCCACAACAGCACCACCGUAUGAGGCUGGCCUGCAGUCAUUCAGUCAUAUAUAUAUAUAUAUGAGAUAUAUAUA
rnacentral:lncRNA from 1 species